GACGUAGGGCGCGAGCGUUGUCCGGAUUUAUUGGGCGUAAAGAGCUCGUAGGCGGCUUGUCGCGUCGAAUGUGAAAUCCCGAGGCUCAACUUCGGGCUUGCAUUCGAUACGGGCAGGCUAGAGUUCGGUAGGGGAGACUGGAAUUCCUGGUGUAGCGGUGAAAUGCGCAGAUAUCAGGAGGAACACCAAUGGCGAAGGCAGAUCUCUGGGCCGUAACUGACGCUGAGGAGCGAAAGCAUGGGGAGCGAACAGG
rnacentral:rRNA from 1 species